AUGGAAACCCAGGGUCAUCUUUCUGAGGAAGCAUGAUGUAGACAGGUGGUUACAGAUAACAUCAUGAGAGCUGAAAGCCAACAGUAGACCACAAAAUGGCAUCACUGAUUUUGACUACUUAUUUAACGUCACAGUGCUGUGGAAUGUUACUAUGCAAAUACAUGUUAGGAGAAAACAAAAGACCUUAGCUGUUGGAUGCACUUUUGC
rnacentral:misc_RNA from 1 species